UCAGAACAACUUCUGAGUCUUCUUUGGGUAGGACAUUUCCCAAGUCUUCAGUUGUUAGGGAUCCAUUUGGCGGAAGAUGAAACAUGGUGAAAGGAUAAGAGUGGAAGUGAGAGAGAAAGGACGGAAGGCCAGGUCACAAAAAGCGGACAAGGAAUGCGAGAAGGGCGUUGGAGUUGAGGCAGCUAACUGAGGCUGAGGGAAGGAAAGGGCCUGGCCAGCGUCCUUAUGCGAGGGAGCCAACACGCAAAUCCAGUUCUAAGAGCGAAAUGCCUCCUGUCCUGCUCUUGCAAGUUGCUUCCUUCCACCGAGACGUUCCUAGGUUUUGGCUUUCCUUCCAUUCUCACGUACGUACGCGCUAAGACGUUUUGUACUAUUAAUUGUGACGAUUUCUGUAGUUUGUAUAAAGUGCUGAGAAAAUACAUCAAGUUGCUAUCACAGAAAAAUCUUAAGUAAUAUUAACAGUAAAAAGCACAGGGAUACAAAAAUGAUAUUUGAGUGAUACUUUUCAUUGGGCAAAUUCUAAGGUAUUCAAAACAACAGUAAGAGCUGGGUGAGUAUGUUUUUAAGAAAGGACAGAUCACCUCCCUGUGUAAUAAUAGCGUUUGCAUGGUUAUCCCUAGCCCCAGUUACCCUUCCAUCCGAGAGCCAGAUGUGCCCUCUAAAUUAGGGGGCUGGGCAAUCAGACACAUGCAAAUUGAGGGACAUUCUGUAAACAGCUAUCAAUGGGCUGGA